UUUUGCCCCAAUUCAAAAUGCGUGAACCCAUCUCCUUGCCCACGCCGCUGACACCUUGCUCCGUCCCCUGUCGCCGGCGGCCUUCCUCCCUCCCCGGUCCCUCCCCGGUCGCUGUCCUCCCUCCCUAGUCCCUCCUCGAUCACCGUCGCCUGUCUUUCUCUUGCUCUCUCAUGCUGCUGCCACCGGUCGAGCACGCCACCCUUCCCAGUCGAGAUCGGUGCUGGCGGGCAUCCUCCCUCUCUAGUCCCUCCCCGAUCGCCAUCCUCCCUCCCCGGUCGCCGUCUCUCUCUCGCUCUCUCACGCCGUCGCCGCCGGUCGAGCCCGCCACCCUCCCCAUUCGAGCCCGGCACCACCAUCACCCUCCCUCUGCCACCACCGGCGUCCUCCCUCCCAGGUCGAGCGCGCCACCGCCGUCACCCUCCCUCCGCCACCGCCGGCGUCCUCCCUCUCCGGGCCGUUGCUGUCGCCGUGCCGCCGCCGCCGUCGCCGUCGCUGCACAGCCGCCGGAUAGACAGUAGGCCCCACUUGAUGAUACACAUCGUCACUUUAGCAUUUUGCAUGAUGAGUCAGAAGAUUUGGAUGAGACAGCUACCCAAGUCCACAGAGCAGACUAGUACUCCACCAGAGCCUGUCCAGCCAGAAGUCAUGACACCGCAGCAUCAUCUUCUUACAGGAACACAGCAGCGACGUGCAGUGCGUGGUCUUAGUAGGGGUCUUGUUUUGGAGAAAUAUAUGCAGACGCACAAUGAAAAGCCAAAAGUACAGAUAUUUCGGGAUCAUCCGGUUGGAACAGAAGUUAGUAUAGCCUCAAAUGAGAUCAGUUUGUAUAUGUGGAAUCAUUUUUCAUGGGCCAUCGAAAGUUUCAAGCAUGUAGCCCCUCGAUACCGCGAUGCUCUAGUCUCUCACAUCAAGAUAAUAAUUAACUUCGAAUGUCUUGCACAUCAUUACAUGAUCCAUAUUAUUUUUUGUUAUAUGGAUAAUUUUUUAUUAUAUGAAUAAUUCUAUAUAUUUGCUUUUUGUUAUGAUGAAUGUGUAGGAUAAUAUGGACUUCGAGGAUUGCACCGAUGAACAAAUGACGGCAUGUAUUCUCAAAAUGACUGCAAAUAGAUACAGAGAUCGACGAUGUAGGCUUCAUAAAUACUGCAAUGAGUUACAAGCGAAGGGGAUUGAUCCUGUGACCCAGCCUUAUAGAAAUUGGGCUGGGUUUAGUGACGAUUGACGGUGGUUAUGCGAGCAUUUUGGGAGUAAGGCAUUUCAGCAACGAUCGGAGGCGAAUAAGGUGAAUAGGAGUAAGGUUGAUUCUAUUCACAUGCAAGGAAGUGCUUCUUUUGUACAGAAAAUGAAGAGGAUGAGACUAUCCGGGGUCUACGUCUAUGUUAAAUUCUAUCAAAAUAAGAGUGGCAAGUUUGUGACAGAGGAGGCGAGGCAGCGUCAUGAAAAAAUUUACAAUUCAGAGAUCAGGCAACGAGGGAGGUUGGAUCUGACAGCGAUACUGGAUCGCAGCAGGUUUGUUCGAUGACAGAUGAUGCGAUCCUGGAUGCCGUCCUCAGGCAGCAGCUAGGAUAUGAGCAUAGCAUGCGAUCAAAAAAAUCCCACAAUUCGUCGUCCGGUCAGUCUGAUGAUGCAUCAGUGCCAGAGAUAGUUAGGACAUCGAUGAGCAUGAUGCAGGAUCAAAUUACUUACUGGAUGAAUUGUAGUCAAAUGGUGGAAAGGAUAGUGGCUGCAAUGGCAGGAUGGCUCGGUAUCGAUGCCUCCGAGUUAGCACCUCUACAAUCGCAUGAUGCUGCCUCUGCACCGCCAUCGUGAUACAUAUCGGGUCAGGGAUCGACACCUGGAGGAAGGAACGAGGCCAAUGACUAAUGAUACAUAGUUUGUAGUUUUUUUAAAUUUUAAAUGGUAUAUGAACUUGUAUUUUUAUAUAUGACAACGAUGGCUAUGAAACUUAUUGCUAUUUGAAAUUAUAAUUUCGAAUUUGAAUGU